GAUGAAGAACGUAGCGAAGUGCGAUAAGUAAUGUGAAUUGCAGAAUUCCGUGAAUCAUCGAAUCUUUGAACGCAUAUUGCACUCUCUGGCAUUCCAGAGAGUAUGCCUGUUUGAGGGUCAGUUUAAAUAAAAAUCGGUUUUGUUGCUACUUUUUUGUGGUGACAUUCCGGAAUUGGGUCGUCUUUACUUUUGGUAUAAGUGACCUAAAAUUUUACGUGAUUUUCGAACGUAUUUAAAUUUUUUACUUACGUUUGUAAUAUCGAAUAUUAGAUGCGAUCAUUUUCCAUGAUUCGCGUCCAUAAUUUUUCAUCUAAUGACCUCAAAUCAGGUAAGAGUACCCGCUGAACUUAAGCAUAUCAAUAAGCGGAGGA
rnacentral:misc_RNA from 1 species